AAGUCGUAACAAGGUUUCCGUAGGUGAACCUGCGGAAGGAUCAUUACCAAAUCCAAAUACCCAAACCCCAUGUGAACUAUUGUUUUUAGUCUGUCUUUGGGAGAAAAUAGCGAAAAUGUAUAUUUAAGAGUUCAUUCUCAUAUUAUAUUUUGGAGCUGUUUCUCCCAAUAGAGUCCGGCGCAAUCUUUUUGAUUUGUGUCCAGAUUCGAAAACCCCCUUUUUAUAAACCACUUGAUUUUUCUGUUGGAAUUUCUUUUAUUAAUUUCAAAUAAAAGACAACUUUUAACGGUGGAUCUCUUGGCUCGUG
rnacentral:misc_RNA from 1 species